rnacentral:rRNA from 1 species
GAUGAACGCUGGCGGCGUGCCUAAUACAUGCAAGUCGAGCGAACAGACGAGGAGCUUGCUCCUCUGACGUUAGCGGCGGACGGGUGAGUAACACGUGGAUAACCUACCUAUAAGACUGGGAUAACUUCGGGAAACCGGAGCUAAUACCGGAUAACAUGUUGAACCGCAUGGUUCAACAGUGAAAGACGUUCUUGCUGUCACUUAUAGAUGGAUCCGCGCCGCAUUAGCUAGUUGGUAAGGUAACGGCUUACCAAGGCAACGAUGCGUAGCCGACCUGAGAGGGUGAUCGGCCACACUGGAACUGAGACACGGUCCAGACUCCUACGGGAGGCAGCAGUAGGGAAUCUUCCGCAAUGGGCGAAAGCCUGACGGAGCAACGCCGCGUGAGUGAAGAAGGUCUUCGGAUCGUAAAACUCUGUUAUUAGGGAAGAACAAAUGUGUAAGUAACUAUGCACGUCUUGACGGUACCUAAUCAGAAAGCCACGGCUAACUACGUG